AUUUUGUAAAGCCAGCUAAUCUGAUUUCAGCUUGCAAUUACAGCCAGCUUUUGACAUUUUUUUUGUGUAUUAUGCAUCAGAUGGUUUGUCGGCAGUCUGUGAGCGUGCCGUCUGAAGCUCAGACUAGAAUGGAGAUGGAGAUCUGUGGAGGGGCAGAGGAUCAGACAGACGGGAGGAACCAAGACUCAUUUACACAGAUGAACAUGUGGACGAAAGUCAGUUCGUCAGAUAUGGAGAACUGUCCCUUGUCUCGGCUCACAGAUCAGAGGCUUCUGUUCUGGCCUGCAUCAACUUUUCCUGCAUUAAAACUCUCGGGUCUGAAAGAACUUUCCAAAGCCUUCUGAUGGCAUUCAGCAUUCGCCACGGGGGAAAAUAACAAGCUGGUUGCUCACUUUGUGACCUGCUGGAUGAGGUGGUUCCAGGUGCACCUGUCGUAGGCAUACUCUUCCUCCAGGCUGGGAACAUUGCCCCCUUGUAGUGCCUGAUCUUCGGCUGAGUCGGGUGGCAGCCUCUCAUUUCUUAAAUGCUACAUGAGGUGACUGGAGCUUCUCUGCCCGUUGCUGAGAGGACAGAUGGAGAGGCCACGGAAUGUUCUGGAGAGCCGAUGGUAAUUACAAGCCAGUAGCAGAGCCGAUGGCUUCCGCAGGGAACAGGCCUGAGCGGAAGCGCUCGAGUGGCGUGGGGGGUUGUUUGCCCUUUGGCUGCUCAGCAUGCUGUUGCUCUGCGCGGUGAGCUCGUGUUGGGACUGCCGUCACUGCACAUUUCUCCGCUCUUCAUGUCAGGUGAGGUGUGUGUGGGAACAUGGUGACAUUUGUGAGCUUUUGUCAUUCACAAGGAGUUUAACUCUUCAGAUGUGUUUCCAGUUCUAUUCAUUUCAGUAGAUAACUGAUGGAAGUCGCAGAUGUGUACAAAAGAAUUUUAUGGAUCAGUCCACCCAAAAAUAAAAAAAUUAUCAUCAUUUACUCA
ensembl:lncRNA